CAGUAGCCACGGUAAUACGAGGGGGGCAAGCGUUGUUCGGAAUUAUUGGGCGUAAAGGGUGCGUAGGCGGUUUGGCAAGUCUUAUGUGAAAUCUUCGGGCUCAACCCGAAGUCUGCAUGAGAAACUGCCGGGCUUGAGUAUGGGAGAGGUGAGUGGAAUUUCCGGUGUAGCGGUGAAAUGCGUAGAUAUCGGAAGGAACACCUGUGGCGAAAGCGGCUCACUGGACCAUAACUGACGCUGAGGCACGAAAGCUAGGGGAGCAAACAGGAUUAGAUACCCCCGUAGUCCCUGUCUCUUAUAC
rnacentral:rRNA from 1 species